rnacentral:rRNA from 1 species
GAUGAACGCUGGCUACAGGCUUAACACAUGCAAGUCGAGGGGAAACGACGUGGAGGCUUGCUUCCCCGGGCGGCGACCGGCUCACGGGUGGGUAACGCGUAUCCAACCUGCCUCUGACUGAGCGAUAACCCGCCGAAAGUCGGCCUAAUUCCUCAUGCCAUCUUCUGCUUGCUUCCAACGACUAUUAAAGAUUUCAUCGGUCAGGCAUUGGGAUGCGUCUGUUUAGGUAGUUGGCGGGGUAACGGCGGACCAAGGCGACGAUCAGUAGGGGUUCUGAGAGGAAGGUCCCCGAGAUUGGAACUGGGACCCGGUCCAAACUCCUACGGGAGGCAGCAGUGAGGAAUAUAGGUAAAUGAGCGAGAGCCUGAACCAGCCAAGUAGCGUGCAGGAUGACGGCCUUAUGGGUUGUAAACUGCUUUUAAGAGGGGAUAAAGUGAGGGACGGGUCCUUCAUUGAAGGUACCGCAUGAAUAAGGACCGGCUAAUUCCGUG